GUUAUAAAAGUUUAGGAAAAACAACUAGUCUUGUAAACUAGAAAAGAAAGUUUAACUCUUUCUUAUAACU
rnacentral:tRNA from 1 species